UACGUAGGGAGCAAGCGUUUGUCCGGAAUCAUUGGGCGUAAAGCGCGCGUAGGCGGCCCGAUAAGUCCGCUGUGAAAGUCAACGGCUCAACUGUUGGAUGCCGGUGGAUACUGUCGGGCUAGAGUACGGAAGAGGCAAGUGGAAUUCCUGGUGUAGCGGUGGAAUGCGCAGAUAUCAGGAGGAACACCUAUAGCGAAGGCAGCUUGCUGGGACGUUAACUGACGC
rnacentral:rRNA from 1 species